GAGUAAUCCGCUAUGAGAUGGACCCGCGGCGCAUUAGCUAGUUGGUGAGGUAACGGCUCACCAAGGCCACGAUGCGUAGCCGACCUGAGAGGGUGAUCGGCCACAUUGGGACUGAGACACGGCCCAGACUCCUACGGGAGGCAGCAGUGGGGAAUAUUGCACAAUGGGCGAAAGCCUGAUGCAGCAACGCCGCGUGAGUG
rnacentral:rRNA from 1 species